rnacentral:rRNA from 1 species
AGCACAGGUAGCAAUACCGGGUGGCGACCGGCGCACGGGUGAGUAACGCGUAUGCAACUUACCUAUCAGAGGGGGAUAACGCAGCGAAAGUUGCACUAAUACCGCAUAAGACCACAGAGCCACAUGGCAUAGGGGUCAAAGGAGCAAUCCGGUCUGAGGUGAGCUCGCGUCCCAUUAGGUAGUUGGUGAGGUAACGGCCCACCUAGUCUUCGAUGGAUAGGGGUUCUGAGAGGAAGGUCCCCACAUUGGAACUGAGACACGGUCCAAACUCC